GCGAACGUGGCGAAACUGGCAGACGCGCAGGACUUAGGAUCCUGUCCCUCACGGGGUGCGGGUUCGACUCCCGCCGUUCGCA
rnacentral:tRNA from 1 species